AAUUACUAUACAGUUGCACCUUCAAGAAUCACAAUGAGGCAGUUCAACAGCAACGUAUAAAAUAGACAGAAGUUGAGAGGAGAACUAUUUGACUUCUUCAAGUACAAAAACUGGAUGGCGGAGGUCAUUUAAGACACUAUCUCGUACUCUGGGUUAGAAUUAUGGGACGGUUUUGAUUUAACCUAGGUUUGAUAACUGGAAUCACUACCACAUCGUAUUACUUACAGACAUAAUCCAUGUAUCUGAGUCUGCAUCUCUGUUAUAAAGGGGUAAUUUCUGGAGUGUGUACGUGUGCAUGCAUGUGUGUGUGUGCCUGUGUGUGUGUGCUUUGCGAUAUUAAGGCAUAGCAACCACUAAGUGUCACUCAGAAUACUAUACUAGAUGGCAAAUUUUUCUCCCCAGGCUUGCAAUCACAUUUGAGCUUUAAAACAGUUCAUAGCUGAGCAGAGAAUGAGCUUUUAAAUGUCCAUGUUUACUGAUCAUUUACUGUAUAACAGCCUUAGCCUUGAAAGUGCUAUAAACACACAUUCAUUAUUUAAUUAAGUUCUUACUGCAACUAUGAUUAGCUACCAUUGUUAUCUCUAUUUUACAGAUGAAGAAAGAAAUUGAUACUUCAGAAAUUUAAGCAAUUUGUCUAGGGUCUGUCACUGAAAUCAGCCAUUUGUGGUUCCAGAAUUGAUCGUCAUCUAGCUAAUAAAUGGCAGAGUUGAAAUGUGAACCCAAGUCUUUUGACUCCAAGGCUCAGGCUUUUAACCAGCUUAACAGCCUUGCUCUUUAGAAAACAACCUAUUAUGUAGAUGAUAUAUCUAUCAGAAGCUGAACCCGGGACCAAAUACACACAUAUACCCACAUCGUGAAACAAAAUAAAAAAGCAGUUAAUUAAAACAUCUGCCUAAUUUUUGGUUGCUCAAAAGGGAAAGAAAUGACUUUUCCCAAAGGAUUUCUCUCCUUUUCCCUGCGUUAGCUCAAUGGGACCCACACUCCAGGUAUCCAGGCUUUUCUUGAAGACCCAGAUGUGUGUUUUGUUUCCAGGAUACCUGAGAUACAAGAAUGUUCUCCCGCCUACUUCACAAUCUCCACUCUGACCUCCCAAACACUCCAAAGUCAGCAGGAGGAAGUAGAAAUGAGACAGAGGCCUCUGUCUCCUAAUCUUUUCCAUAGGCUACUGUUUUCUUUCUUUUCUCAUGAGGAAAAAUGAUAAAAGCAAAAUAAACAAAUUAGCUACCACUUAUGAAAAUCCCCAGGAAAUUCCUUUUCCAGAGUUCUCACUUACUAAUUUGGCUAACAUUACCAAUGGUAACAGACCCCACGUAUCCGCCACAAUUGCUGUGAGUUGCAGAGGAAAAAGACUGGGAGGAAAUCUUCACUUUUCUUCUGCAACAGCAACCAACAGAAAUGAAAGAGCCAGGGGAUUUUGCAAAAUAUCAACUCCUGAGAACUAAGAAUGAGAGCCUUUCCUGCCAAGCCCAUUCUGUGCCAGUCAUCAUAAAAUACUCCAGAAGAUUCUACCUGUGGAUCA
rnacentral:lncRNA from 1 species